rnacentral:rRNA from 1 species
UACGUAGGGGGCUAGCGUUGUCCGGAAUCAUUGGGCGUAAAGAGCGCGUAGGCGGCCAGAUAAGUCCGGUGUGAAAGUCACAGGCUCAACCUGUGAAUGCCGCUGGAAACUGUCUGGCUAGAGUCCGGGAGGGGCGAGUGGAAUUCCUGGUGUAGCGGUGAAAUGCGCAGAUAUCAGGAGGAACACCAAUGGCGAAGGCAGCUCGCUGGGACGUUACUGACGCUGAGACGCGAAAGCGUGGGGAGCAAACAGG